rnacentral:misc_RNA from 1 species
UUUCUCUCGACUCUCUUUCGCUUUCUCUGCAUUUUAAAUAAGAAAGAAAAAAAAUAAGAACUUUCUUUUUAUCUCACCAAUCCCAAGAAUCCGUCCUUAAAAAAACAUUGGGAUUUCCAUGUUCUUGUAGUAGCUAAGAUUAUGUUACAGUUUCUGGAUUGAUUUUUCUUUUGGGAUUAACAAGGAAAAAACUAAUGUCUACAAUUAGGUGCAUGACAAUCAGGUCGAGGUCCCACCGGGUGGUG